GAUGAACGCUGGCGGCGUGCCUAAUACAUGCAAGUCGAGCGAACAGACGAGGAGCUUGCUCCUUCGACGUUAGCGGCGGACGGGUGAGUAACACGUAGGUAACCUACCUAUAAGACUGGGAUAACUUCGGGAAACCGGAGCUAAUACCGGAUAAUAUUUCGAACCGCAUGGUUCGAUAGUGAAAGAUGGCUUUGCUAUCACUUAUAGAUGGACCUGCGCCGUAUUAGCUAGUUGGUAAGGUAACGGCUUACCAAGGCAACGAUACGUAGCCAACCUGAGAGGGUGAUCGGCCACACUGGAACUGAGACACGGUCCAGACUCCUACGGGAGGCAGCAGUAGGGAAUCUUCCGCAAUGGGCGAAAGCCUGACGGAGCAACGCCGCGUGAGUGAUGAAGGUCUUCGGAUCGUAAAACUCUGUUAUUAGGGAAGAACAAACGUGUAAGUAACUGUGCACGUCUUGACGGUACCUAAUCAGAAAGCCACGGCUAACUACGUG
rnacentral:rRNA from 1 species